rnacentral:misc_RNA from 1 species
GAUGUUGGCCAGUUCGAGAUGGCGACGCUGUUGCUGCUCUUGGAUCGCUUGCAACCGCUCGAUUUCUUCUUGCUCGUCCCGAAUGCUGUCUUCACCGCCCUUGACCCUCACGACUUUAAAAAGUCCGGCGAUGCGNAUUCAGGCGUGCUUGAGCGUCGGUCUCCGCGUCAACCAUGCCGUUGAUCUUGAGCUUGGCCCGUUUGGGGAGCCUGCUGGUGUCCGCUUUCGUGUUCAUGCUGACUUCCAUGCGUUUUCAAGCCGGGCAUCGCGCGCAGCGUAUCGCUCGGCACUUGUCGCGGGGACGAUGGCGGUCUUGGCUUGGGCUGGGUCGAGGGGUGGCGGGCUUUUCCAAGC